GAUGAACGCUGGCGGCGUGCCUAAUACAUGCAAGUCGAGCGAACAGACGAGGAGCUUGCUCCUCUGACGUUAGCGGCGGACGGGUGAGUAACACGUGGAUAACCUACCUAUAAGACUGGGAUAACUUCGGGAAACCGGAGCUAAUACCGGAUAAUAUAUUGAACCGCAUGGUUCAAUAGUGAAAGACGGUUUUGCCGUCACUUAUAGAUGGAUCCGCGCCGCAUUAGCUAGUUGGUAAGGUAACGGCUUACCAAGGCAACGAUGCGUAGCCGACCUGAGAGGGUGAUAGGCCACACUGGAACUGAGACACGGUCAAGACUCCUACGGGAGGCAGCAGUAGGGAAUCUUCCGCAAUGGGCGAAAGCCUGACGGAGCAACGCCGCGUGAGUGAUGAAGGUCUUCGGAUCGUAAAACUCUGUUAUUAGGGAAGAACAAAUGUGUAAGUAACUAUGCACGUCUUGACGGUACCUAAUCAGAAAGCCACGGCUAACUACGUG
rnacentral:rRNA from 1 species